rnacentral:lncRNA from 10 species
AUAUAUAAUAUAUAUUUAUAUAAAUAUAUAUAUUUAAAGAGGUUUCAGUCCAGGCUCUGUGGCUCAUGCCUAUAAUCCCAGCACUUUGGGAGGCCAAGGUGGGCAGAUUGCUUGAGCCUAGGAGUUCCAGAUCAGCCUGGGCAACACGGCAAAACGCCGCCUCUACAAAAAAUACAAAAAAUAAAAUAAAAAAUUAUGCACACGUGGUGGUGCAUGCCUGUAGUCCCAGCUACUCAGGAGGCUGAGGUGGGAGGAUUGCUGGAGACUGGGAGGCGGAGGUUGCAAUGAGACAAGAUCGUACCACUUCACUCCAGCCUGGGCAACAGAGUGAGGCCCUAUUUCUAAAAAUUAAUUAAUUAAUUAAAAUAAAAAAUAUAAAGGCUUCAAUCAUGGCAUUUAGCUAGUACUUAACUAUUUAUAAUUCCUUCUCCCUUACUUUGUAAAUUUCUUGAACCAGUAGUCACAUUUUACCUCCAGAGCGUAUGCAUGCCAUAUAUAAGGUGCAUGGAAAAUACUGUUGACCAAGCAGAUAAUAAUAAUAAUAAUAUUAUAGCAAUAAUGAUAAGUAACAUUUGUUGAAUACAUUCUGAGUACCAAGUACUAUGUUAAGCACUGAAUUAGAAUUUACUGAUAAAGAAUACCCCCAAAACUUGGAGAAUUUAAGUACAUUGACCAAAAUUAGACAACUACUAAGAGGAAAGCUGGGUUUUUAACAUAUAUGCUAGCUCAUCACCUUUUUGCUAGGCUAAAUGAACAUGAGCCCCAUUUAAUUAUUUCAAUUAAAGUUAUAACAAAGCAUCCAAAUCAGAUAUUCAGACAAGAGAGACACAAUUAAAUUAUUUCCCCUCAUAAUUAGGACAUAGCCCUUGUUUUCACUAUUCUUAAAACAAGUCUAACUUCAAUCAAUUCCUGGUCAAAAAGCCACGGUGUCAGAUCUGAUCUUUUUAUAUAUUAAUAGGUAUGGCUCUACUCAUUAAAUAAAAGCAUAAAAGGCCAAAACAAAUUCAUUUGUAAGAAAGAGAACUGACUUUUACUGCUCUAAAAGAUCAUAAGUUUAACUAAUAAAUAGUAAUACUCCAUGCAUUUAUGCAAAUCUUUCAGUUCAAUGUUUUUACCGGAAGAUUCUUUUUCAAUGAGGAUUUUUGUAAAAGUAAACUCCUUCAGCUUAAAAGAUUUAGGAAAUCCGACAGUCAUUAGAUGUAUUAGAUGCUUUAUCAGUUUUUUAUUAAAGCUAUUAAACACAAUGUAUCAUCAGCAUUUUUCGAUCACAUUUCUUAAAAAGCUUAAUGAACACAUAUUUCUGGCAAUUAUUAAAGUGUGGCCACAAUCUUUAUUCUAUUAAAGGAAAAAAAGAACUACAGCAUGAAGCUGCUGCCUGCUGGUGGUUGAUGAGGAAGUAGGGCUUCUCUGGCAAUGGCUGGGUCUCUUGUCUUCCCUAUACACUGACACAACACAUGUUUUACUUCAGUAUCUCCUGAGGACUUACAUAUUUCUCUCAUGUAGAUCCCUUUUGCCUUCUUUAUAUGGUUCUUGCUCCCAUCUAUUAGAUCUCUCUAUAUUUCUUUUUAAAAAACUAUAUAUACUACUUGCUUUUAUCACACACACACAGAUUUAAAAGGCAGAUCUAAGUAAGUAGCCAGCAUCCUUAUUGUCACCAUGAAAUAGUUGCUUAGUUUCUUUCAUUCGAUAAGCUCAAAGCAUUAAGUGAUUAGCCCAGAUAACAAAAAAAUAAUUGUCCCAAUUAAAUAUCAUUAUUGUUUUUCCCCCUUAUUAAUUCUUAGAAACUGCUUGUGCUUUAGAACAACAAACAUAUAAGAUUAAAUUUCUUCUCAUUGUGUUUUGACAGACUAGCAUUAUUUGGAUAGUUUACUUUUUAAUUUUCUACGUGCCAAUUGACUAAAUUCUAUUUAGAAUGCACUUACUGUUUUUAAUGAAGCCAUGAAUCUUCAGGGUAAAAAAAUACAAAAAGGAAUGAAGACUUAGACCAAUUUACUUAUUUAUUUAUUUUCUGGACUAAAACCACUUCUGUGCUGUUCUAUGCUUGUCACUGCAUCAUGUGUCUCCCCCUACAGGUAAAGAGCAGGCAGCUGUACUAGUUUCACCGCUCCUGUAGAAGAAUUUGUAUUUUCCAAAGUCAAAAUCCAGAAGUCUUUUGCUUUAGGGUGCUGGUCUCUAUGCCUCUGGGGUAUAAGCAGUAGAUAUAAUCAAAAUAGCUAUAACUACAGAGAUAUGUCCAGUGAGAGGUUGGGAUGAGAAAUUUUCAAGCUCAUAUACAAAUAAUACAAUGCCACAUCUAUUACUCAGGAGUUAGUAUUAAUACUUCAUUUACUUUCUCUAAAGCAUAUACUUCCACGGUGGGUAUAAAGGCCACCCGAAUCUAAUGGUUUAUUUUACUUUAUAAAGGUGUAAGAAGGACCAUGGACUCGAAAAAGGAACCACAUGUUUAUUCCUGGCAUUGUCACUAAGCAGCACCCUCUCUCACUAGGUCUCAGUUUUUUCAUCUUUAAAAUAAAGAUAUUUAAAUACGUUUUCUUUAGAGUUGUGUCCUUGCAUGAAAAUCCUCUAAUUGAGGAUGAUUAAAUAAACAUAUUGGAAAUAUGGAAAUUCAGAAGCAUUGAAAAUGGUAUUGUGAAGAUGUAACAUUUAAUGAGAUGGCUGCAGAAUGCUUGCCUUGAGCUAAGGUUGUUCGAAAAUGAAAUGCUUACAAGGAAGGACUGUGCUCCAAGCUACAUGGCUGUACUUCAAAAAUGGGAUCACUGUCCCAGUGCAGGUAUGGCUUGGGCAUCUCUGACUCUUUGCCACCCUCUCAUGUUCCAAUGCACUCUUUACUUCUGGUGUGCACCACACAUUAAGGACGUAUGUAGGUGAGCCUUACUCUAAAUGAUAAAAGGAUUACUAAAAAUGUCAUGCCAUGACUGUGUGAAAACAAAAUCAUAAAUGAAAUGUACCAAAGAAGCUGACAUACCAAUAUUCUCUGUUACCUCUAUUCUACCAGUUUUUAAAUUAGCUUUAGGAACAAAAAAAUGUCAGGCAUUGGGACAGGGUUAUAGGAAGAAACACUUGGUGAGUUCCUCAUCACAUUCGGAACUCUAUCCAUUUUUCUUUCUUUUUUUUUUUUUUUUUUUUUUUUUUUUGAGACGGUGUCUCACUCUGUCACCCAGGCCGAAGAGCAGUGGCCUGAUCUCGGCUCACUGCAACCUCCGCCCUCAGAGUUCAAGCGAUUUCCUGUCUCAGCCUCCCGAGUAGCUGGGAUUACAGGCACCUGCCACCACGCCUGGCUAAUUUUUGUAUUUUAAUAGAGACGGGGUUUCACCAUCUUGGCCAGGCUGGUCUUGAACUCCUGACCUGGUGAUCCACCCGCCUUGGCCUCCCAAAGUGCUGGGAUUACAGGCAUGAGCCACCAUGCCCGGCCUCCAUUUUUUUUUUUUUUUUUUUUUUUUUACUUUAGGAGACAGGGUCUCAUUACAUUGCCCAGGCUGGUCUUGAAUUCCUGAGCUCAAGCAGUCCUCCCACCUUGGUCUCCUGAGUAGCCGGGAUUAUAGGGGUGUGCCACCAUGCCCAACUUGAACUCUAUCCUUUUAUAUAACUUAUCUCCUUGAAUUCUUGCAACAGUCCUAAGUGUUAGGUACUCAAAUCUCCAAAAUGAGGAAAUGAAGCAAAAAGGAGAGACUGGGUUCACAUUCAGGCUCCAAAUGCCACACAUCAUCUUUGUCAUAUCACACUAAAGAGCAAAAGAGCUAUUUAAGUCUCUUUUAUAAAUGCAAACUUCAAAGCCUUACUUUUAAGGAAUUGUUAGAUCAUUUUAGACCUGUAUGUUUACCUACUAUAUAUUGAAAUAAAAACUGGCCAGUGACCUACCUUUAAAACCUAGCUUUAAAACCCUAAUGCUAUAAAAUCAAACUCUCGGCCAGGUGUGGUGGCUCAUGCCUGUAAUCCCAGCAUUUUGGGAGGCCAAGGUGGGUGGAUCACCUGAGGUCAGGAGUUCAAGACCAUCCUGGCUAACACAGUGAAACCCUGUCUCUACUAAAAACACAAAAAGUUAGCCGGGCGUGGUGGUGGGCAUCUGUAAUCCCAGCUACUUGGGAGGCUGAGGCAGGAGAAUUGCUUGAACCCAGGAGGCGGAGGUUGCAGUGAGCCUCAGAUCGCGCCACUGCACUCCAGCCUGGGCGAUAAGAGCAAAACUCUAUCUCAAGAAAAAAAAAAAAAAAUCAAAUUCUCCUGGCUUUAAUACAUGUCAAAUGCAAUAACCUUGAAAAGAGGAAGAGGGUAUUGUAAAUUCUAUGUGACAACUCCUUAGAAAGCAUGGUAUGUGAUAUGUAGACUGCUGAAGUUCUUAACUCUUCUUUUUUAAAAAUUAGAGUUGGUUUACAGAAAAGUGAUAGAGAAUUAAUAUUUCUCCUUCAAACAACUAUGACUCAAAAGUGAGUUCUUAGACUUAGAAAUUCAUCCUGAACAACAGUGUAUCAUCUCUAUCACAAAGCUACCAGCGUCUGUGAAUUGUGAUGAGAAUAAAGGAGACAGUGCUGGGAGCAGGAGGAGACCCCAUUUUGAUGGGCACAAAGCAAGCGCAUCCAUUUUGGCCAAUUUAAGGACCCACAAGUUUUCCUCUCAUGAUCUUGCAAGCUUGCCUUUCUCUCACUGUUCCCUUUCCUUCGUUUGUGUCUUUGUCCUAUUCUUUCCAUUACCCCCUUGUUACGGAAUGAGUGCUUGUGUGCCCCUAAAAUUCAUUUCAAUAUCCUAACCCAAUAUGUGUUGGUAUUUGGAGGCCGGGCCUGUGGGAGGUGAUUAGGUCGUGAGGGUGGAGCACUCAACACUCACAAAUGAGACUAGUGCCUUUACAAAGGGCACUGAUGCAACCUAGAAGAAGACUCUCACCAGACCCCAACCAUGCUGGCAUCCUGAUCUCAGACUUCCAGCCUCCAGAAUUGUGAGAAAUAAAUUUGUGUUGUCUAUAAGCCACCCAGUCUAUGGUACUUUGUUAUGGCAGCCUGAAUUGAUGAAGAAACCCCUAGUUCUAUGUAUACAGUGGGCCCUAGAAACAAAACCAAGUAAUAACAACAAAAUGGAAUUUAAAAAGAUGUAUUAAGUGCUGGUUCUGUGAGGCACUAUGCUAAGGGCAUCAUGCGUGUUCACUCAUUCAAGCCAGCAACAACUGCAGGAAGCAGUGUCACUAUUUUAUAGGUAGGGAAACUGAGCAGAGAAAGGGUAUGCAACCUGCCCAGGGCCACAAAGCUCUCAUGAUAGAGCAUGAUUUGAGUGCUGGGUAGGCAGAGCAACCACGUGGUAUAAUUCUAGGGGCACCAUGUUGUGAUGUUCUGUGGAGUUGCCCUCCGGAGGCACUUGGAGCUGUGUGCUCUAGCAGCCUUUUGGAUCAGCCAUGAACUUAACUGUUAGGCUACACUGUUACUCUAGACCUUAUUCCUAUGUUGAGGGAUAGACAGGCAUACAUUUGCGAACCUGUACCUGGGGCCUCUAGUGAGAGAAGCCACAUGGAAGCUGGUCCUCAUGCUGCUCCAGGCACUAGGUCUGACCCCUAUCAACAGGGACCCAUUCAUCUUAAGGGUGCCUCACUGACUCUUUUUAAUACUUCUUUGCCCUUCCCAGGACUACUGCCACAGUACAGCCAGGUUCCAACUUCAGGGGGAGUGAGCCUAGAGGGUGGGGCCUGAGUGGUCAGCUGCAGAGGGAGGAAAGGCACAAGCACUGCCUUUUCUGAGUGUCUCAAAUCUUACUAAUGUCAAAAUCUCAACCAUCAUUAUUAUUACUAGCACUGAGGUUUUAAGGGCCCACUUUUUCAAAAUGGGCUCAGAAAGGGGAACCUUCCCCUGCUACUGCCCUCAUCCCUCCAUCCCUAUGCCAUGUUCCCACCUUGGUUUGCUAUGCUUGGGCAAGAAAAACGACUUCCCAGUUUUAGUCAGUUCAUUUCCUGUUGUGCUUUGUGAGGAGCCCAGCAGCACUAAGUGGUAACAACAGUUAAUUAGUUUCCCUUUCUAGAUAAGGUAUUUCUGUGUCCCCCUUGUCCCUAGGCCUCAGGUCAGGAGCUUGUGGGUACGAAUGAGGCCAUAUUCACCUUAAUUUCUUAAUUUCUGUGGCUCAUAAUUCCCUCUGGUAUUGCUCCAGGACCCCCUUACUAUGUAUACAUUUCUAGGAGCUUCUAUGAGGUCUGUCACAUAUGCUUAAGAUCAAGUGUGUGCCCUUUGAGUGUAGCUACUCUCUCCUGUUAAUCUGUGCCUGGCAUCUGCUGGGAUGGCUGGGCAGCUGCCCUGACCACUGAGCACCCAACCAUCUGUUGUCAGCCACAACAAUUUCCACUGGUACCUGAUGCUGCUCUUCUGGGAGAAUGCUGCUCCACCUGUGAGGCCAGCUCAUAUGUGACCUCAAGCUAAAAAAGCUUCCAGGGACCAAAAUAGCACUGCAUUCUGCCCAAAUAGCAAUGUCAGUUCUUGCUUAUUGCAAAAUUGGGGGUUGAGGGUAGUUCCUCUUGAUAGGGGUCAGAUUUAGUGCCUGGAGCAGCGUGAAGACCAGCUUCCAUGUGGCUUCUCUCACUAGAGGCCUCAGGUACAGGUUCAUAAAUGUAGGCCUGUCCAUUCCUCAACUUAGGAAAGUGCAUAGAAACAGAGGGAUCCGGUUCCACACCUCCAACUCAGUUUAGACUCAUUUAUGUUGAAUUUGAAUUUUGGCAGAAGAAAUCAGUUACUCAAAGUAUUUAUUUUAGCAUAUAGGAAUUGUUAUUGUUCAUCUCUCUUUCUCUUUAUUUUUUGGAGACAGUCUUACUCUGUUGCCCAGGCUGGAGUGCAGUGGCGCGAUCUCGGCUCACUGCAACCUCUGCCUCCUGGGUUCAAGCGAUUCUCCUGCCUCAGAUUCCCGAGUAGCUUGGAUUACAGGUGCUCGCCACCAUGCUAAGUUUUGUAUUUUUAGUAGAGAUGGGGUUUCGCCAUGUUGGCCAGGCUGGUCUUGAACUCCUGGCCUCAAGUGAUCCACCCACCUUGGCCUCCCAAAGUGCUGAGAUUACAAGCGUGAGCCACCACUCCUGGCCCUAUUGUUCAUCUCUUGAUCAAUAUCAAGAACAAAACUGGUUAACCAUAUAUGUACUAUAAAAUGAUAAUUGGAAGUCAUCACCAAUAAUAUGUUGAAAGAGAAACAUGAAGAAGAGAUCAAUAAUUUAACAUUCAUUGAAAUACAAGUUUCACUUGAUGACAUUCAGAAAAGAUGACAUUAACAAUGAUUCCAGAAUCAACUCUAAUGUGGUGACCACAAACACAGACAGACGUCUGGACAUGAUAAAGUUAAAUUUCAAGCAAAGUGUACUCACUAAUAACUUAAUAAGAGCUCCUCAGCACAUUAUGGGUUGGAGCUCAAGGAAGACACUUGAAUCCAAUGACGAAUUGUUUUAGUUUGGAGAAUAUGCUAAUUUUCUUCUGGUAAUAAUUUUAGAAAACAUAGGUUUUCUUUUCCAGGCAAUUAUUUUAAUGAAUCAAUUGGGGUUUCAAGAAAUAGUCAAAAGAGUUCAAUUUGGUUUCAGGUUCAGCAAAAUGAGAUCAUGCAUUCUGUUUUUGGUUCAGCUGGGGUCAAGUCCUGUGCCUAAAACAGACUAAUAGGAAUUGAGAUAAUUUUAUUUUUAUGCACUUGGCUCCUCUCAUCUUUCCUCCUAUUUUUCUUUCCCAAACAUCUAUAGAUCCCAACGUUUUGAUCUCAUUGAACUUUUUCUGCAUUGUAUAUUAACUUCUCUCCCCUCCCAAACUGAGUUUAUUCUCAGCUCUCUCAGUCCUUUAUUGGACUACUGGUACAAUGUUGCUUCCUACACACAAGUGGGAUAUUGAUGAACCAACACGUUACUCCUUUUAUUUAUGCCUUCACUCUUAUUAAACUAAAUGAUGACAUAUUAUAUCAUGCUAAUAACACAUGUGUGGAACCAGAAUGGGAAGUGACUUGAAAGUAACAUCAUCUCUCAAAAUACAAAUGCCCAGAGCAAUGCUCAAAUGAGUAUAAGCACAUAGUUAAAUGGUUAAAAAUAAUGUACAUCAGUAAAAAACGUAAAUCGGUAAAAAUGUUCCAAAUAACAGCUUAGACAAUUUGUGAGAUCAAUGAUAGAAAUGAUAAUGUAGAGAAGAAAGAAUUUCUUUAACAUUUUCAAAUUGCAGCAUGAAAUUGGUGUUGGUGUUAUAUUGACUCUUGGCAGAAAUGGUUUCUUCCUAGACACAUGAAGAAUAAGCUCCAGAUCUUUCUUACCUGUUAUGGUGGCUUUGUUGAUGGAUGGUUGGUUGCACAUGGGUGAUCUUCUGACAAAGACAGAAAAACACAAAGCAGUAAAUAUGUGGGGCUUAUUGAUUUGAUCACUCUCUGAGUCAUUUCAGAUAUAGCAUUUUACUUUAAAGAAUUAUUUUUAAGUUUGGACACGCAAAUGAUUUCUUUCAGACUAGCCAGACAAGUCCCUAGGCGUUCUUUGUAUUAUGGCUCAGAUCACACAUGUCCAAAAAGAAAACUGGUAAAUCUCACAGUGAUUGAUUUGGGGUAAAUAAAGCUGAUGUAAGUGUCACUGGGACAUGAGAGAAGAGGAAAUUCUUACAGACUUUAUUCGCUGAAGCCAGAGCUUAUAGACUCUGAAUUUGAAAAAGCAGUCAAUUUAUAAUUGUCUUCCCUAAUACAGGGUUAAGAAAUUUUUAUUGUUGGCCUAAAUUCUCGUGAUUGCCUGUACAUUAUCAGAAGUGAAUGAUUUGUUGUAAACUAUCUUAUAAUUAGAGAAGCUAUUUGAACUUUUUCCUUUCUUUUCUUAUAUUGAAAAACACCUCUGAUAUAUUUGUUAGAGAGGUAUAUUAAUGACUUGUCCAAAUAGAUACUAUAGAAGCUUUAGAAAUACUCUAAGCCAAAGGUACUUAAAUAAAUUAUAUCUUGUGUUCUCUAAGUUUUCAGAUGUUUGCCAAGUUCCACAAAAUGACUAUAAACCCCUUGAAGUAAAAAAAAAAAGCAUGCUGUCUGAUUAACUUAUAUUCCCUACAGAGCCUAGCACAAUGCAUCCAGUAUUCCGUCAGUGCUUAAUAAAUUAUGUUGAAAAGAAUAUCAUUUAUAAAGUAUCCAUCAACAUUUUUGAAAUAUAACUUUAUAAAGUUAUUACUUGUAACUGACAGCUUUU